UGGCACGCCAUCACCCUGUGUUCUUCAAAUGGGGGACAUUCAAGCGGAGUGCUUACGAAGCAGUUGGAGUUUGGUGAACCCGAUGAAUCAAAUGGCAGGACGUCCGUCAUUUUUCUUAAGGAACUAAAGAGGCUACCGGAGGACUCUCACUAGCCUAGCAAUGACUUUUACCUGUAACCUUCUCUGACUGCCUGUACCUUACUUGUAUGGAGUUUCAUGGAGGGACACAGUGCCCCACCCAAUGACCAAUAAAGUACACAGAGAGACUUUUCCCCUUGUAGCAUUCCUGCAAGCAAGCACGAGACCGAUGCCUUACUAAGACAUGCUGAAGUCUAGCCUCUGGAUGGAGACCCAGGGUCCAGGUGAGACUUGGUAUUGCCUGAGAAAUGGGAUACAAUGUGACACACAAAUGCCUCGUCUAUUCCACAAGGACAAUGUGGAAUGACAGGGACCACAGGACAGAAGCUAAGCAGCAAGCCCUGGCUGGAACUAGUUGGCAACCUUUCUGGGAGCACCACUCCCUUCUCUGGAACUCGCUCACUGUAAGGAGGGCUGUGCUGGUCUAUGUUAAGUUCCCUUCCAUUUACACGUUCAUAAUCUGUGGCCCGCUCAAUUGAUUUUCCUAAGCUGCUGUUCCUCUUCAUAUAAAUAGCACGUCCAUAAGGGAUCAGUUUUGUUUUGUCUGUUUCUAAGCAAUUAUCUUAAUUCUACAUGUGUGUGUGCAUGCUAGGAGCCCAAAGGAAGACCGAGGAGGGCAUGAGAUCCCCAGUACUGAUAGUUGUGAGCCACUGUGUAAGUGUGUGCUACAUACUGAACCCGGGUCCUCUGCCAGAGCAGCCAGUGCCCUUAACCACUGAGCUGCCUCUCUAGCACCAGUAAUUAAUUUCUCCGACACACUUUUCUAUGGACUCCACUGUCAGCCUCUGUCCUUUCUUCCUAAAAGGCUCCCCCCCCCAUCCUUUUCUCCUAACACACUUUCACUUUCGAGCGGAAACAGUGUCCCACCUUAAACGGCUCAAUGUAAGCAUCUAUUCCGUGAGUUCGCUUUGAGCCCUGAUGACCACACGACGGUUAUGUUAGCUGGCACUCCCAUGUUGGCCUUUAAAUGGGUUGGUGUCCUGACAUUUAUUUUAUUUUACUUUUUUUAACUUACACUUAAAUUAUGUCAUGUCUUCUGUUCAAAUACCGAGGUACGCUAAGGCGAAGGUAAAUGACAGCACUAACCGUCUUCCGGUUUGACUUGCAGUCUCUUCUAACUUCUGCAGCUCCGCCGUGUACACCUGCAUCCGAGCAUUGCAGACCAUGAGGUUCUUAACUGCGUGCAAAACCUGGUCUUUUUUUUUACUCAGGGAGAGCAGUUUCCAUAUUCCUUCUCGCAUUCGGAUCUCUAAGUCUAUUUUCUCUUGGAUGCUGCAGUCCUAAAAUAGAGAAUCACUCGUAAGAGGUGGCAAGAAUCUAGAACUACAUUUAAGACAGGCGACAGGAAGUGGGGUAGACAUCGUCUUGUUUUUACACCAUUCUGAAAUGAGACCAAGUUUCCCAGAAUGAAACAAACGCAACCAUUUUAAAAAGCUAUUUGCCAAAGCUCUUAAGUGUCUUGCAUUGGAGAAAAAAGAAAGAUGAGAAAAAAUAUGUUGCUACCAUAACCUCUUGCUAGCUUAACAGAGCUCUCAAAAUCCUUGUCUCACCAGAACCCUCGAAUGGGCCCUUAUUUGGAUACAGAACUUUGCAUGUGUUAUUAAUUAUAACAGGGUCACAUUGGAGUAGAAUGGGUCUCAAAUCUUAAUAAGGCCAUGAAAAGACACAGACACACAGAGAAAAGGCCACAGGAAGAUACACAAAGACACUUGGAGAGAAGACCACGAAAAGACAAGGCACACAGAGGCCACAUAAAGAUAACAGACAUGGGGUUGGGGAUUUAGCUCAGUGGUAGAGUGCUUGCUUAGCAAGCGCAAGGCCCUGGGUUCGGUCCCCAGUUCCGAAAAAAAGAAGGAAAAAAAAAAGAUAACAGACAUACAGAGAGGCCACACAUGGACGCAGACACAAAGGGGAUAUAAGAAGAAACACACACACAGGACUGGUCAUAUGAAGACACACACACACAGAGGGCCCUAUGACAACAGAUACACGGGGCAGCCAUGUGAAGACAGAGGUGGAACCCAGCAAGUUGGUCCCAAUAGCCAGAACCUGGAAGAGGUAAGAAGGGAGAAGAAGAUGCAAAGUCCUCACUCAGUUCAUUCCCAGUAACUUUGUAAGUAUUAGAAGCCGCAGAGGCCCUCUUUAUAAACAAGCACGGAACCCACGAGUGUCUACUUCUAAGUGAACCUAACUUUAGCAGUAAACAAACAAACAAACAAACAAACAAGUAUUACUUUCUCAUUGUGCCGAAAUUUUAAAAUAUGGAUAGGAUCUAAUAAGUGUCAAGGAUUAAGAGAACAAUCAUUUCAAAAGAAAGAGAAGAAGUCGGUUAGGAGAGUUGAUAGUCUUAUAAUGGCUACCUCCAAAAAGCAAGCUGUGAAAUGGUUUGACUUGACUCUCCAAACCUAAUCGGCUGAGCUAUUCACACAAGAGAAGCGAUCUGUUUAAUGACCUUCUGGUACCACAUUGUGGAGUCAUCACAUGAGAACCUUGCCAUGUAAUAUGUACGGAUUCAAGCUGGGGCACCCUAUCAACGCUGUCCCUUGCUGGACCCCUUCUUUGAUCAUGACUGCCUUCCACCGACUCUUAGUUCAUCCAUGGAUGACUUGUAAGCCCCAAAGUCGUUUCUCCUCUCAUGCCAUCAGCAAUUAAUGAUAAGAACCAUCUACAUGACCCGGAUGUCUACAGUAAUAGGCGCUGACAGGCUGGUUAGCGCUGCCCCGGCCCACAGAGCACAUAAGAAAAGCUGCCCCAUCUGCAUCCUGCUGCAGUGUUGGAAAACAAGUCCUCAGAGCGAGCAGGUUAGCAAUCAAUCUCCUUUCUCGGGGUUCCAUCAGGUCAAGCAGGAACCUACAUCACUGUCCUGGUAUGGUAAGUAGUUAAAGGUAAGAGCUAAGACGGAAUGGACAGAACGAAGCUAAAAACAGAAUAGCGGAACCCUUUAAAAGUAGAGGAUAGAGGCUCAAGCCGGGUACUUGUUCUUCCAGAGGACAUGAGUUCGAUUCCCAGAACCCACAGCAUGCAGCUUAGCAACAACUAUGACUCCAGCUCGAGGGGACCCAACCCCUUCUCCUGGCCUUCCAGGUACCCCACACUCAUGGAUACACACCCAUAUAAACACAUAGAUAAAAGUAAAGAUUUAAGAUAAGUAAGAGUGGGGCUGGAGAGAUGGCUCAGUGGUUAAGAGCACUGACUGCUCUUCCAGAGGUCCUGAGUUCAAAUCCCAGCAACCACAUGGUGGCUCACAACCAUCUGCAAUGGGGUCUGAUGCCCUCUUCUGGUGUGUCUGAAGACAGCGACAGUGUACUCGCAUACAUGAAAUAAAUAAAUAUUUAAAAAAAAAAGAUAAAUAAGAGUGGAAAUGGGGAGUUAGGGAGAUGGUCCAGCAGACAAAGUGGUCACCGUGCAAGCGUGGGGACCUGAGUUCAUCCACAGAAAAGCCAGGCACCAUGGUAUACCCCUGUAAUCUCAGAGCUGGGGAGGUGAAGGCAGGUAGAUCCUGGGGCUUACUGGCAGUCAGCCAGGCCAAAAUGAAAAGCUGUAGGUUCAAUAAGAACUAUAGUUUCUCUCUCUCUCUCUCUCUCUCUCUCUCUCUCUCUCUCUCUCUCUCACACACACACACACACACACACACACACACACACUCACACGAACGCACAUACAUGCGCGUACACACACAUCCAGGCACAGUGCCACACACACCUUUAAUCUUAGCACAGAGGUGGCAGAGGCAGGCAGAUCUCUGUGACUCCUUGUCAGCCUACUGUAGUCACUGAGUUCCAAGCCAGCCAGGGUCUACAUGGUAAGACCUUGUCUCCAAAAAAAAAAGAAAAAAAAAAGUGGGAAACAAUAAGGGAAUACUGUGAAGCUGACCUCUGACUUCCACACUCACAUGUACAGACAAGGGUAACUCUGCAGAAGUGCGCAUUCACACACAGAAGAGACAUUAGAGCCGGGUACAGCUCAUUAGGGCAAUGCCUCCCUAAAGGGUGUGGGGUCCUGAAUUGGAUCUUUAAUGCCACCAGAAAGAGAGAACUUUCAAAGCUGGCCAUCUGGGUUAUGGAAGAGAGACAUCUGGACAGUUUUAAGAGCUAGAACAGCACAAAGGCAGAGAGUGGGCCCUACUGUCAACCCUGAGAAGUGACUUUUAAAGUUGAAAGCAGGGACGGGAGCUUGGUAAAAGGAGACAGAAACCAUGCGUAAGUAAUUCUGACCAAACCGACUACUCACCUAACAACUAUACUUAGGACAUGUUGGUAAAGAGAGCCGAGGGUAGGUGAAGAAAAUGGAAAGUUGUUUAUAUGCAGUAUGUUUGCUUCUAAAAUAUUUAUUAUUAUUAUCAUGUGUGUGUAUGUGUAAGAUGUGUACACACAAGUACAGGAUGUGUGCUGUGUGUAUGUGUAAGAUUUGUGCAUACAAAUACAGGAUGUGUGUAUGUGUGUGUGUGUAAGAUGUGUGCACACAUAAGUACAGGAUGUGUGUGUAUGUGUAAGGUGUGUGCACACAAGUACAGGAUGUGUGUAUGUGUGUGUAAGGUGUAUGUGUAAGGGGUGUGUGUAAGACAGGUGUGUGUGUGUGUGUGUGUGUGUGUGUGUAAGACACAGGCACAUAGAUACUUACCAUUUCGUAGUACUUAUGUGAUGGUCAGAUAGCAACUUUGGGGAGCGUUCUCUCUCUCUAGCUCAGGUCCGCAAGACCAAGCUCAGGUCACCACCCUGUACGGCAAGCAUGUUUACCUCAGCAGUCCUAAUCUCUGACUCUUAAACAAAAUUCUACGUACCGAAGAACUGUUGAACUGUUUAUGUACAGGAAAAAAAAUUAACACUAACCAUGGUAGGGAACUGUGGAGAAAUGGGAUUCGUGUUCUGGGAACACUUUAUAAGGACGAACUGUUUCUACUCAAACUACAUUUCCGCUU